GCCUACGGGAGGCAGCAGUAGGGAAUCUUCCACAAUAGACGAAAGUCUGAUGCAGCGACGCCGCGUGAGCGAAGAAGUAUUUCGGUAUGUAAAGCUCUAUCAGCAGGGAAGAAAAUGACGGUACCUGACUAAGAAGCCCCGGCUAACUACGUGCCAGCAGCCGCGGUAAUACGUAGGGGGCAAGCGUUAUCCGGAUUUACUGGGUGUAAAGGGAGCGCAGGCGGCGCGGUAAGUCUGAUGUGAAAGCCCGGGGCUCAACCCCGGGACUGCAUUGGAAACUGUCGUGCUGGAGUGUCGGAGGGGCA
rnacentral:rRNA from 1 species